rnacentral:rRNA from 1 species
UGAAGAGGGAAACAACCCAGACCGCCAGCUAAGGUCCCAAAGUCAUGGUUAAGUGGGAAACGAUGUGGGAAGGCCCAGACAGCCAGGAUGUUGGCUUAGAAGCAGCCAUCAUUUAAAGAAAGCGUAAUAGCUCACUGGUCGAGUCGGCCUGCGCGGAAGAUGUAACGGGGCUAAACCAUGCACCGAAGCUGCGGCAGCGACACUCAGGUGUUGUUGGGUAGGGGAGCGUUCUGUAAGCCUGCGAAGGUGGCCUGUGAGGGUUGCUGGAGGUAUCAGAAGUGCGAAUGCUGACAUAAGUAACGAUAAAGCGGGUGAAAAGCCCGCUCGCCGGAAGACCAAGGGUUCCUGUCCAACGUUAAUCGGGGCAGGGUGAGUCGACCCCUAAGGCGAGGCCGAAAGGCGUAGUCGAUGGGAAACGGGUUAAUAUUCCCGUACUUGGUGUUACUGCGAAGGGGGGACGGAGAAGGCUAUGUUGGCCGGGCGACGGUUGUCCCGGUUUAAGCGUGUAGGUGUGUGUUCCAGGUAAAUCCGGUUCACUUUAACACUGAGGCGUGACGACGAGGCACUACGGUGCUGAAGCAACAAAUGCCCUGCUUCCAGGAAAAGCCUCUAAGCAUCAGGUAACAUCAAAUCGUACCCCAAACCGACACAGGUGGUCAGGUAGAGAAUACCAAGGCGCUUGAGAGAACUCGGGUGAAGGAACUAGGCAAAAUGGUGCCGUAACUUCGGGAGAAGGCACGCUGACACGUAGGUGAAGUGAUUUACUCAUGGAGCUGAAGUCAGUCGAAGAUACCAGCUGGCUGCAACUGUUUAUUAAAAACACAGCACUGUGCAAACACGAAAGUGGACGUAUACGGUGUGACGCCUGCCCGGUGCCGGAAGGUUAAUUGAUGGGGUCAGCGCAAGCGAAGCUCCUGAUCGAAGCCCCGGUAAACGGCGGCCGUAACUAUAACGGUCCUAAGGUAGCGAAAUUCCUUGUCGGGUAAGUUCCGACCUGCACGAAUGGCGUAAUGAUGGCCAGGCUGUCUCCACCCGAGACUCAGUGAAAUUGAACUCGCUGUGAAGAUGCAGUGUACCCGCGGCAAGACGGAAAGACCCCGUGAACCUUUACUAUAGCUUGACACUGAACAUUGAGCCUUGAUGUGUAGGAUAGGUGGGAGGCUUUGAAGUGUGGACGCCAGUCUGCAUGGAGCCGACCUUGAAAUACCACCCUUUAAUGUUUGAUGUUCUAACGUGGACCCGUAAUCCGGGUUGCGGACAGUGUCUGGUGGGUAGUUUGACUGGGGCGGUCUCCUCCUAAAGAGUAACGGAGGAGCACGAAGGUUGGCUAAUCCUGGUCGGACAUCAGGAGGUUAGUGCAAUGGCAUAAGCCAGCUUGACUGCGAGCGUGACGGCGCGAGCAGGUGCGAAAGCAGGUCAUAGUGAUCCGGUGGUUCUGAAUGGAAGGGCCAUCGCUCAACGGAUAAAAGGUACUCCGGGGAUAACAGGCUGAUACCGCCCAAGAGUUCAUAUCGACGGCGGUGUUUGGCACCUCGAUGUCGGCUCAUCACAUCCUGGGGCUGAAGUAGGUCCCAAGGGUAUGGCUGUUCGCCAUUUAAAGUGGUACGCGAGCUGGGUUUAGAACGUCGUGAGACAGUUCGGUCCCUAUCUGCCGUGGGCGCUGGAGAACUGAGGGGGGCUGCUCCUAGUACGAGAGGACCGGAGUGGACGCAUCACUGGUGUUCGGGUUGUCAUGCCAAUGGCACUGCCCGGUAGCUAAAUGCGGAAGAGAUAAGUGCUGAAAGCAUCUAAGCACGAAACUUGCCCCGAGAUGAGUUCUCCCUGAGACUUAGAGUCUCCUGAAGGAACGUUGAAGACGACGACGUUGAUAGGCCGGGUGUGUAAGCGCAGCGAUGCGUUGAGCUAACCGGUACUAAUGAACCGUGAGGCUUAACCUUACA